AUAUUAAUAAGCGGAGGAAAAGAAACUAACAAGGAUUCCCUUAGUAACGGCGAGUGAACCGGGACCAGCUCAACUUGAAAAUCGGCCUGGCGGGCGACCGUCGGUCGAAUUGUAGUCUAGAGGGGCGGCGCCAGUGGGCCAGCCGGACGAACUCCCCUUGAACGGGGGAUCAGAGAGGGUGCCAAUCCCGUCCUGUCCGGCGUGGCCCGCGUACAGCACGUUCCCGUCGAGUCGAAUUGCUUGCGAGUGCAGUUCUAAGUGGGUGGUAAAUCCCAUCUAAAGCUAAAUAAGAGCGAGAGACCGAUAGCGCACAAGUA
rnacentral:rRNA from 1 species